AGAACAUGGAUAGAAAAAUAGAUCAGUGGUUAAGAGCACUAGCUAGAGGACCCAGGUUUGAUUCCCAGCGUCCACGUGGCAGCUCCCAAUGGUCUUUUAACUCCAGUUCCAGGUGAUCCCUCACCCUACAAGCACAAGACAGGUGCAUGGUGCACAGAUGGACAAAACACCCUUAUAUGUAAAAUAAAUACUGAAAAAAAAAGAGCAUCUGGUGAAGAUACUUAAGAAAAAUUAGAACAUACAGGAACCAACAGUUCAGACUUGUUCUGCUAUUUAUGGUCAAGCCAGUAAGAGUCUGCCAUAGAACAUAAGCUGUGCUCCAGGAGGGUCCAUUGGAACUUAUUAUGGUGUCAUCAUUCUCAUGCCUGCAGGGGCUGAUGGCUGGGGGAGAUGGAGACCAAGAGUCUGAGGCAUGAUGAAAUUGGAAGGAUGUGUUGAGAGGGAACUGGAACUGGAGCUGGAGCACCCUCUUCUCGCCAAGAACCGAUUCCCUCAUGGUUGUCCACAGACCCAUUCUCCUUUCCACCACAAGAGGGUGCACUAGGAUCACUCUGCCACUGGGAGAAGCAGCAUGGCUUCUGCUGUACACUACACCUGCCCAUGGCUGCUGUCCUUUAGGGUUCUCUCCUGGGCUCUACUUCUGUCACUCAGGUCCCCAACUAGCCUCUCAGAUUAGAUGUAGGGUUCAUGGUUCAGUGUCUUCUGUGUGUUUAAUUCUUUCUGCUCUUUUCUCCCUGUGUCCCAUCUUCCAAGGAUAGGAAGAAGACCAGAGGACAUUCUCUCCAUAUUCUCUGUCCUGAUGCCUGGUACAGGAUGCUCUAACCCUGACUAAUACACUCUCUUCAUUUACUUGCAUGCUUGUAUCUAGGUCAUUCUGACAGCUCUCAGAGCUAGGGUAGCAGCCACUG